rnacentral:misc_RNA from 1 species
CUCUCUUUCUCUCAAAACUCUUCCAUCCUCACAUUGUUCUUUUCCUAAUUUAGCAUGGACUCUGCGGUUAAUGUUCCCAGAUGGACACCAAAACCAAGCACAGUUAGAUCACCUCUAAAAAAGCCUACAGCAAGAGUAGACGACGAGUUAGAGUUGCAAAGCAUGGCUUCUGACGAAGAUGACAAGUCCCUUAGCAUGGACACAGUACUAUUCCCAUUUAGCACUGGCUUUGCUAUUGAUGGUCGUGAUCAUCAUCAUCAUCCGACUCUCGAUUCUUCAGGUCGAUAUAAAAAACCAUCUCUAGAUAAGAUUGAGAUGGAAGCAACUGUCGGGCUAAUAAAUGAAGACAAGAAGCAGCAGUUUUCAUCCAAUGGAAGAAAUGGCGAUGGCAUUUUCUGUACGUGGAAGGAUUUGUCGGUUACAGUAGGUGAUGGGAAAAAUGGCCGCCGGGUAAUCCUGCAAGGGCUAACAGGGUAUGCUCAGCCGGGGGACGUGUUAUGCGUCAUGGGCCCUUCAGGCUGCGGCAAGUCCACUCUUCUAGAUGCAUUGGCAGGGAGAUUAAGUUCCAAUACACAGCAAACUGGAGAGAUCCUAAUCAAUGGUCACAAGGUGACACUUGCCUUUGGAACUUCGGCGUACGUGACUCAAGAUGAUACUCUAAUGACAACAUUAACAGUAAGGGAAGCUGUGUACUAUUCAGCACAGCUUCAACUACCAGACUUCAUGUCAAUAUCUGAAAAGAAACAAAGAGCCGAGAUGACAAUAAGGGAGAUGGGCUUGCAAGACUCUGUUGACACUAGAAUUGGAGGGUGGAGCACAAAAGGCCUUAGCGGUGGACAAAAGAGAAGAGUCAGCAUUUGCAUUGAAAUCUUGACUCGCCCCAAGCUUCUGUUUCUUGAUGAGCCUACCAGUGGACUAGACAGUGCAGCAUCUUACCAUGUCAUGAAACGUAUUGUGAGGCUUGCUAAGCGAGAUGGAAGGACUGUUAUUGCUUCAAUUCAUCAACCUAGCAGUGAAGUUUUUGAGCUAUUCCACAAUCUUUGCCUCCUCUCUUAUGGCAGAACAGUCUAUUUUGGUCCUGUUUCAAUUGCAGAAAAGUUUUUUUCCUCGAAUGGCUUCCCUUGCCCUUCUCUCAGGAACCCAUCAGAUCACUACCUUAGGACCAUAAACAAGGACUUCGACGGGGACCUUGAACAAGGCCUUGGGGGUUUCAUAAGCACAGAGGAAGCUAUUAAUGUUCUUGUCAAAUCGUACGAAUCAUCAGAGAUUUUCCAGCAAGUUAAACAGCAAGUGGCUUAUAUUUGCGAAAAGAAAGGAAAAAUUCUGGAGAAGAAAGGAAGUCAGGCAAGCUUCAUCACCCAAUGCAUUGUUCUUACAAAGAGAUCCUUCGUGAACAUGUGUCGUGACCUAGGCUAUUACUGGCUUCGCCUCGCAAUCUACAUUGCAUUGUGCUUAUGUGUCGGGACUAUCUUCCAUGACAUUGGCUUCACGUAUGGUUCAAUUCAGGCUAGAGGCUCAAUGCUUAUGUUUGUGGCCGCGUUCUUGACUUUCAUGGCAAUUGGUGGAUUCCCUUCUUUUGUUGAGGAUAUGAAGGUUAGCCUGCUCUAAUAAUGAUCUUGUCAAGCCACACGAUUUCAAUGACUGACUGAAUUUAAUUUCCUUCUCCGAAUUCGGAUCUUCGAACGAGAAAGAUUAAAUGGGCACUAUGGUGUUGGUGCAUUCGUUGUUGGAAACACAUUUUCUUCUAUUCCUUACCUGUUAAUUAUCUCUUUAGUCCCUGGAGCCAUAGCUUAUUACCUAGUUGGCCUUCAAAAGAGUUUUCAACACUUUGCCUACUUUGCACUGCUACUCUUUGCAUGCAUGAUGCUGGUAGAAAGCCUAAUGAUGACAGUUGCAAGUAUAGUGCCAGAUUUCCUGAUGGGUAUCAUAACAGGUGCUGGAAUUCAAGGAGUGAUGAUGCUAAAUGGAGGUUUCUUUCGCUUGCCUGACGAUCUUCCCAAGCCUUUUUGGAGGUACCCAAUGUACUAUAUUGCAUUCCACAAGUAUGCAAACCAAGGAUUCUACAAGAAUGAGUUUGAAGGAUUGACAUUCCCAAAUAAUCAAGUCGGAGGGUCGCCUACCAUUACUGGUGAAGAAAUUUUGCGAAACAUUUGGCAAGUAGAGAUGAGUUACUCAAAAUGGAUUGAUAUCGCUAUCUUGUUUGGUAUGGUGGUUCUUUAUCGCCUCAUGUUCUUGGGAAUCAUAAAAAUUAUUGAAAAGGUUAAGCCAAUCAUCAAAGCUGUCACGUCUGUUCCUCCUACACAAGUCCAGACAGAUACAUGAGAAUCCCUCUCCUUCACUUGAAAUUGAAUGAAAAUGAGAUUUGUGGGGUUCAUGAUUUAGUUUAGAGAAAUUCCAUCAGGGGAUGAUUAUUUAUUAUGUAUGUGUAUUAUAAUAACAGUACAAUGGAUUUUUUGUGUCUAGAGUUUAGACCUGGUUCAUUAUGAAUAUAAAAAUAUAUAAUGAGAUCUACCUGUUGAACAUAUAAAAUCUAUAUAUAUU